CUUCCCGGCGCCGCGCGGCCCCCGACCCGCAGGCGCGGCAGCUCCGCCCGAGGCAGGAACCGGCUCGCGCCGAUGACGUUGUUCGGGACAACGGCAUCCCGCCGAUAAGCUUUGCUCCCAAAUCGACUCGCAUUCCUGUUGCUUAAAACGACAGGAGCACCUGUCUCGUCCAGAUGCACGCCAGAUAAAAAUCUCGGACGCCGAUGCUAACUGUACCGUUCCCUCCCCACCGCUGGCUGCCUGGGGGAAGCACCAAGAGCCCACCUUUGGGACAAGGCCAUGGGCGAGCUCAGCUCUGGAGUGAAGGCAGGAACCUCUGUCAGCUCAGUGCAGCAACGAGCAGCUCAGUGCCGAGCCCAGGCACGUUACCUUUUGGAGGGUCUACUCAGGAUCCACAGGAUUUCCUAACAGGGUGAAGCACCCUGAGCUGAAACAGCAGAGCUCUGCACAUCCCAUUCUGCAACAGUUCAAAGCAUCUCCAGCUACAAGUUUCCCUUUCUAUUAAAGCACAGUACAUCGGAAGCCACUUUGCUCUGCAGCACCAACAGUAUUUAAACACUGAGCGCCGUUCUCAAAGUAGCAAAUUACAGUUUUAUGGACUGUUAAUGAGUUUCUAAGGCUUUUUAGAAAGCUGAACUAAUAGCUUUUCUCUCUAUGAUGUCUCCCCCAGGAUCCCGGAGCUCGCUGUUGAGAGUGAGGUAUAAAGAAACAGCUCCCUCUGGGAACAACAAGUCAGCCCUGCCAGUGUCCUCUACCGUCACUGCAUGUCAGUGAGUGCCAUUCCGGGACCAUUUACUGGAAGCCAAAGAACAGCAGAAUUGCUGCCAUCUCACCUUCCAACAAGGCAGAGCUCUGAGGUUUUUCUGUAGUGAGAUGACUACCUAACAAUUGUGUAAUCUGCUCAGUAAAUGUCUUAGCUAAUUUUCAGAUCAAGUUUCAGAUUACUUACUAGAAAGACAAUGCUCGGAAACAGGAGCAAUAUGCACAGAUGUGUGCUUCAGUACGUGCUGGCUCUGCUCUGAGCAAUCUGCCACCAGAACUGAAGACACAUUAAGCACUUUAUAAGUACCUAUGACAAAGAGAUACAAAUACAGUCGCAUUUAAGUAUAAAUGAUUGCUUAUUCACCUCACAGAAAGCAUAAUACAUGGCAUUAUUAACCAUAAUCAGCAAUUGUCUUUCUGGGUGCAGAAAAUGAAACUUUGACAAGAGGACACUGCCUGGCAUUUAAAUGGAAUCCAGCCACAUGGACAGCCAAUAUUAAAGAGCACUUAACACUUGUGAAAACCAGCUUUUUUUUUUUCCCCCAUUAGUAUUUGUCCAUUCAGGACGAUGUUACUAAGUUGUUUAGCACACAACUGACCAUACAAGAAGGGAGCAGAGAACAAAAAAGCAGGCUUACAGUCUUGCGUUCUCCGUUGCGACCAACCACGCGGAUGAUUUCUCCUGUAGGAAUACAUUCAAUUUGCAGUUCCAUCUUUCCAAGAUGAAAAGACGAAAUCAACUAGUUUCUCCAAUCAUAUUCACCAUCUUCAUUAAAGAGUCACAAUGCUGUAACAUUACCUUGAAGAGCCCAAUCCAGUCCCAAGCACUGCUCGGGAAUCCAGGCACUGCAGAAUAGCUGAUGAAAACAUCGCGUUCUGAACUCCACUCACCCUCAGGACUCAGCGUGACCAAAGGAUCUGAUAGAAGAGGCUUCAACUAGACAAGAAAACCAAAUUUACAGUCAGCCAAGUCUGUUUGCCCUUCAGUCAUUCCUUUCAAGUUAUUCUCUGCCAUGUCUGCUGUGAUACUCUUAACUGAAUAGGAAUAACCUGAUAGCAAUUUGCUGCCCUCACUUCAAUUGCAGACUAGGACCUGCAAAGUGUAGGAAAACAGCUUCUGUAAGGUAAGAUUUAAACUAUAAAAAACAAACAAACAAAAAAAAGGGACAGCACCUCAAUCCCAAAAGUUCCUGUAACAGGUUUGUGAUCGCUGAUGCCAUAGCUCAUGUGACUGAUAUAGUUAUUUAAUGUAACAGAAAUGGUCUGUUCUUCUUCAGAGAAAUCAUCUUCUUUUGAUGCAUGCUGGCAGAGACUUUUCACUCUCCAAAGAAUUCUGUCAGUCCAUGCUGGCUUCCUUUUCUUCUCACUGCAGAAAUGAGAGUACAAGAGUGAAAUGAGAAGAAAAAGCAGCUGCCAAAAGCUAAAUCUACUCAUAGUUGGAAAGACUGUCAGAUGAGUAUUAAUAUAAGAAGGCAAUCAUAUCCAGGCUUCAUUUUACAGCUCUGUUCGACAUGCUUUACAACUAACAAUUCUUUAAUUUGAAUGCAACUCCACGUACAGGAGAUGAGUUUCACAGGAUUAUGAGAGGAGUAAAAUGAAGGGGAGAAGUGCAUUCCAAUGGGUUAGUCGGUUUCAUACAGGAAAUGAUACUUUCUCCUACGAGACUCCCUGAGAACAUGCAAGAACACUGAGAUGAUACAAUGACUGCCCUAAGGCUCAGCUGUGCAGUCAUUCUGAAGAAAAGGGCAUAACUUUAAAGAGGUAGGAAAAGUCUGAAUUAUAUUUGAAAUUAUUCAGAAUUUUUGAGAACAACUUAACAACUAGAACUGGAUAAAUUUUGGGCACCUUACAUUAAUCAUACAUGACACUGUAUUACUGUACCAGACUGUAUUUCAAGUCUCCAAGCGACUGCUGUCCCAUUACAAGAGGCUGGAAAAAUCCCACAACUAAUAAAAUCGUGUCUGUAACUGUAAUAGACAUCAAACUGCAAUCAUAAUUCAGAGUUUCCUUUUAUACCAUAUCAAUAACAACAGAAGACAUGAGCGUUUCGUGGUUCUCUCUGUAGUGGAAGACUUAACAGCAACUCUCUGUAUGGAUGUAUCACUUCAAAUUGAAAUGGAGAAAAGAUCAUACCCUAUGGAAGAGGAAUUAGAAUGGACUGGAUUGAAUUAUAAGGGUUAAUGAGCAGGAUGUGUAAGGACAACUGUCAGUUUAAUAUCUUCAAAUAUCAAAAUCAUCAUAAAACGAAAAAACCAUUUGCUUCAAUAUUCAACACACUUUUUUUUAAACCCUUCUCAUAUAAGAAGUCUGACCCACCUUUAAAAAGGUGUCAAGAUUUUAAAUGACUGAGGGGCUAUACCCAGUCACUCCAGUAAUUAUAUAAACCGACAGAAAUCUAUAUGAGAUGCAGUAUGUCUAAUCUGCUGUGCAAGAAAAUAGCAGAAGAACAGCUCAAGUUAGCACACUCACUGUUUUAGAGAAAAUGGCACUUUAGGUGGCAAAGAAAAACUCAACAUCCACACUGAAAAAGUAUGGAAGAGAACAAAAUACUGUGUGCUUCAUAUCAAGCACACUUUUCAAUGAUGCUUAAAAGAGACAAGUGCCUUGAGGUUUACUGACCACCUCUCCAUCCAACCAGAAUACCUCUGCUAGCAAUAGCAGAAUGCACACAGUAUGCAUAAGCAUUCUUCUUCCUCAAAUAAGCUAACACAGGCUAUCUGGCUGUGAAUCAUUCUUAGAAUUUCAAGGUUUGAAUUUCUAUGCAUAUUUUUUGUUGACUGAAUUUAUUUCUGGUUCCAUUAUCUGUCUUCACAAAAUGUCUCUGGGUCCAAGUGAAUGAAUUCCCAAGGUUACACGCAACAGCAGAGUAGACAACACUCUGGCUUUCAGACAGGUUCAGAAAAUCCCUGCAGAAAAUCAGCUGUCAUCUGAUUUUCAAAUAUUUCAUAAAAAUCAAAUCAAAAGCUCAGAAGGAGCAUUGUUUUGAUUCUGAAAUAUUUACAAAUCUAUGAAAUCCAGAAGGUUAUCUUCUUACUUAAACCAAAACAGGGACUUCUGCUCUCUGGAAAUAAAGAAAUAUGUCAGUACAAAAAAAACGUCUGUUUGGACAGGAACUUAUCCUUCUGUUGAAACACAAGGCUAAUAUUUAACAACAAACAUUAGUACCAAGUGCUAUGGAAACUUAAAGUACUCCAUUUCACAACUUAGAAUUACUUAUAAAGACAUAUUUGCAUUUAUUUUCAAAUGCCAGCAGUAUCAAGUGAAAUGCUUAAGCAGAGAAGGAAAAGAAAAAUUGCAGAUUAUUACUCUUCCCUUUUUGCUUGCUUUCCUUUGAUAACCAAAGGGUGCUUUUAACAUUCAAGAAAAGAAACAAAAACAGCAUAACCAAGUACUAGUUUGCCCUAUUAAUCUAGUAUUUCCAAAAAGGAUUCACUCCUGCUUCCCUUAUGUGAUCACCAGAUUUGAGCUUCUUCAGAAACAUUUCACGUUUGCCCACUGAAUGAGCCAAACAAAAUAGCUCAAUAGCUUCAGGUAAUCAGCAUACCUAGGAAAUUCAGGCUUGCUUAGCAAGGUUAUCAUGUCUGAAGCACCUUAUUCAUACUAAUACUCCGUGUCUGAGCACAUCUUUGUGUGCUUUUACCUUGUAUCAUACACAUCCGAGUGAAGGUCAAACUUGUAGGUGGGUUUAAACUGCAGAGGACCCUCUAUGAAUUCCUGAAGAAAUGCUUCCUUCUUUUUUGCCAUAUUUAACUGCAGAAAUAAAAUCAGAGCCCAAAAGGUUAUUUGAAAAGGACCUGAGAAAGUGUUUUCCAAGAACUGAACAUCCCAGUCAGUACAACACAUUUGGAAAAGUAAAUUCAGAAGUGUCAAUUUGUUACUGUCAGAACUCUUGACACGAUCUGUUUAAAAGUUUCUAAUUCAUUCCAGAAUAAGAGUCUCUUAAAGAUAAUUCUUGGGAGCAGAAGAAAGAAGAAGUUAAUGAGAAGAACAAUUCAUGGGCCAUGAAGAUAAGAAAAAAGCCUCAGCCAAACAGGAAAUUAGGAGUAGGAAAUUAAAAGCAUAAAAAGUUUGCAAUUAAUUGAGGCUUAUGACUGAGAAUGAACAGGUGGUAGAACUGUUCCACUUCAUGACUACUCAGAAUUUGUCUUUUUAAAUAGUAAUUAGAAACUCGAGAGGUAAUGUUAAUUACUGCAUUGUAUUUGUAUCCAUUUAACCAUAAUAAUAAAAACACAACAACUAAGACAACAUACCUGGUCCUUCUCCCACAGCAGAUUGUAUCGCUUGUUGUUUAUUGAUUCUCGGACAAAAUGAAUGCCAUAAUCUGCUAUUCGGAAGUUGAGAUCUCCAAACCAGAAGAGAACACUAAACAAACAAACAACCACAGAAGAUUUGUAGGAACUCAUUAACUCACAAGGGAAGAAUUCAAUAGAACAUAAACCAUAAUGCUAAUUAGGUGCUCUAAUCACUUAGAUUACUUAAUCUGAACAGCACAAACACAAACAUUAAAUUAUAGAUAAGCUUAUAGAGGUACAGCCUGCUAAACAAGAAAUUCAAAGGAAUUGAAACAGUCAAUUAAGCCCUCCCUGCUGCUUGCUCAUUACUGCCCACGUAUUAACUUAUCCCAAGCACCCUAAUGACUUACAUAUCUAUUAGAAACAGAUUUAGAAUUCAAUUUUCACAGUAAGUAAAAUAAGUAACAAAACUUGUGACCUAUUCACUCCUUGAUUAUGUUAUCUAGAGCACCUUGGGAAAGCAGGGGUAUGAACAAGGUGUUCUGUAGCUAUUAGGAAUAAAAGCAGUUAUUAUGUAGCACUGCAGUGUACCAUCAGCAAUGCUUUAGACAACAGGAAAGGAGUCUAUUCAAAUAAACAAAGAUCUCUCAGGAAAUCCCCACUGCUACUGUUUUAUCUAGGGCCUGGUGUUCCACGUUUGAUAUCACAGAAACAAAACUUAAAUUUAACAUUUGUACUUUCUUCUUACAUGGUGACAUGAGGUGUUAUGAUACCAACCCAUGGGCACUAUCAAGAAAAUGAGACAGAAUUAUCAAACACAUUCUGGGAGAGGAAAACUAAAGAUUUUUAAACUCAUGUUUCAUGCAUGUUUACCUAAUUUUAAUGAGCUCGUUAACAAUUAAACUGCUAUUACGUAUCUGUCCUAGACGGGCACUUUUAAGAGAUAAAUACAACACAGACAGAAUACUGUCAGAAUGACUCACUCAUGAUCCAAUGUACUUGGAACAUUCUCCUCUUCAAACUGCAUUUCCAGAAUCUUUUCGAAGUCAUCCAGUCGCUGCUCUGUGUUCUCCAUGUGUGCUGGCAAAUGGCAGUUUAUGAAACAAAUUGUGUGACCAUAGAGGGACAUCCGAACGGUGACUCCUCCUUUGUUCCCC